UUCAAUCUACAGGGUGUCCAUAAAUGAUUACCCUAAAACAAUAUGCUCUCAUGUUUUAAUCAGGGUAAUCAUUUAUGGACACCCUGUAUUUCAAUAUGGAUAUAAUUUUCAAGAAUGUAACCAGAAAUUUGUUAAAAUUUUAAUGAUUUGGAAUUAAAAGAUAGAGCAGAAUAUAUUGAUACAGUUUGAGGCUUUAUUACUCAGCAUUAGUUUCUACUUAGUACUGCAAUUAAGGUUUACUGAGGGAAUCACAGCAUUGGAUCACAUCUGUUAAAUGAUCGAAAGCCAAGAGUAAAUAUAAAUGGAUUCUGGUUUAAUUGGUCUACAGUAUUAAGUGUUAUCCUAUAGAAGAGUGUGUUAGGUUUGGUCCUCUUGCUUGUCAGUAUUAAGUGUUAUCCUGUAGAAGAGUGUGUUAGGUUUGGUCCUCUUGCUUGUCAGUAUUAAGUGUUAUCCUGUAGAAGAGUGUGUUAGGUUUGGUCCUCUUGCUUGUCCGUAUUAAGUGUUAUCCUGUAGAAGAGUGUGUUAGGUUUGGUCCUCUUGCUUGUCAGUAUUAAGUGUUAUCCUGUAGAAGAGUGUGUUAGGUUUGGUUCUCUUGCUUGUCAGUAUUAAGUGUUAUCCUGUAGAAGAGUGUGUUAGGUUUGGUCCUCUUGCUUGUCAGUAUUAAGUGUUAUCCUGUAGAAGAGUGUGUUAGGUUUGGUCCUCUUGCUUGUCAGUAUUAAGUGUUAUCCUGUAGAAGAGUGUGUUAGGUUUGUUCCUCUUGCUUGUCAGUAUUAAGUGUUAUCCUGUAGAAGAGUGUGUUAGGUUUGUUCCUCUUGCUUGUCAGUAUUAAGUGUUAUCCUGUAGAAGAGUGUGUUAGGUUUGUUCCUCUUGCUUGUCAGUAUUAAGUGUUAUCCUGUAGAAGAGUGUGUUAGGUUUGUUCCUCUUGCUUGUCAGUAUUAAGUGUUAUCCUGUAGAAGAGUGUGUUAGGUUUGUUCCUCUUGCUUGUCAGAUAUACAUUAAUGACACAUACGUAUUUCUGCCUUAUUCAUGUGUCCUUUUUUCCGGAUCUUUCUAAAACAUUCAGA